UAUACUUUCCUUGGACGUUUGUACUGUGACAUAUCAAGAAGCUAUGAAGAAACAGAAUGUUGGGAAGAGAGAAGAGAUUGAGAGAGGCCUUGAAGACACAGGGAAGAAGGAGCUAGGGUUUGCAGGAGGGGGAGGACGGAUGAAUGGAGAGAAGAGAAACACAGGCUGAGGACUCACUUAUUGUGAAUGAAAGAAACUUCACAGCGUCAGUUCACACACAGGCAGUAUCUCUCUGAUGGCUCCAAGAAAAGCUGACAACCUAAGAGCGAUUGUGAUUAUGACUUUUUACCUAAGAAGUUACUCCACCCCACAGCCUGGGCUGUGCUCAUUAGGGGGUGACCGCCACUUGGUGAUUAGUGGUUGGAGAUCUAAGAAAGGCAGAUAUGAGUUCUAUCCUCUGCUCUUCCAUUAAUUCACUGGAUGAUCUGGGACACAUCUUCUUUCUGGACCUGUUUCCUCAUUUUUAGAUGUUGAGAAUUGGACUAGAUGAUUUCUAGGGACUAUUUCAGUUCUAAAAUAUUAUUAAGCUAUGAAAUGGUUCCUUCAAAGCUGAGAUAAAGAAGCUUGGGGCAGGGACCACUGGAAAGAAAACAGAAGAAAAGAAAUAUUUAGGGGGUGAUACUUAAUGAACUGAAUUAGGACACAUGCAGUGGUUUUAGAAAUUUGAUUUAUAACCACCUUUUUCAGCAUAACAAGAUAGAGAACUAACCGACAAAAACUUUAAUGAGAAAAUACUAUUUGAAGUGGAAAUAAUUUUUUAGCUAGAACUAAGUAGAUGGAAAAAUCACUCAUUAGCUCUACUAGUACAGGGUAGUAGCAAAAUUCUCCCAAAUAAAAUUAGUUUCUGGGAGUUCAUCCCUCAAAUCACAUUCUCCAUUUAUCUAG